rnacentral:rRNA from 1 species
UAUGUAGGUGGCCUAGUAAGUCGGAUGUGAAAUCCUUUGGCUCAACCAAAGAACUGCAUUCGAUACUGCCUGGCUUGAGUUUCGGAGAGGAGAGUGGAAUUCCCAGUGUAAGAGUGAAAUCUGUAGAUAUUGGGAGGAACACCAGUGGCGAAAGCGACUCUCUGGCCGAAAACUGACACUGAAAUACGAAAGCUAGAGGAGCAAACAGGAUUAGAUACCCUGGUAGUCC